rnacentral:lncRNA from 1 species
UGGGGGUGAAGGAGAACGGCAGCCCAGGCAGAGGCACACCCGCACUCUGGGCACACAGCAUCCAGCAGGAUGAGGCUCCAGGAGCAGAAGGAUCAGAUGGAGGCAGGCAGCUACAGCCUCAGUACUUGGGCCUUUUCACCUCCACCCCAUCAGCCUCCAGCUUCUUCCUCUUCUCAAUGAUCGCACUGAUCUUCUUCCACUGCCGGUCCAGCUCUGCCUUGUCAUUCGUCUCUUUGAAGCGACGGGUUUUGCGUCCCUCAGACAUUUUGAUCCCAUACUGGAAGGCUGCCUUGGGCAGAGCCUCUUUGUUGUUCAUGUAUUCACUGUAUUCCUCCUGGGUAUCGAAGUCCCAGCGGCCCAAAGGCCCUUUCUUGUUACCCUGAUCCAUCUUGCUGUAGUCCACCUCUUCAUCACUGUCCACAGCCAUAUCAUCCAUUGUAGCAGGGUAGCACUCGGCGUAGCUGUUUGACAUGCCAAAGAAGUCUCCCAGCUGCUUCUUGUCUUCUGGCUUCUUCAAUGUCUCUGUUCCUUCCCAGCCAGCAGCUCCAGCAAACUUCUCAUUGAUAGACUUGAUGAGCUCCUUGGCAGAGCCAGGUCCUUUGUCAAUGUCUGUGGGCUCGUCAUCAGCCUUGGGCUUCUCAAAGUAGCUGUGCCUCUUUUUCUCCUCCUCCCGGUCCCGCUCCCGGUCCCUCUCGCGCUCCCGGUCACGCUCCCGGUCCCUGUCACGCUCCCGGUCCCUCUCGCGGUCUCUCUCACGGUAUCUCUCCCGCUCCUUAUCCCGUGGCAUCUUUGCAGUGGAGGGUACAUAAUCCCCAAUAUCUUCAAAGAUGUUCAUAUCAGCUUCAGGGGGUUUCUUCUCAUCCAGCUUCCCUUUGUCUUUCUUCUUCAGCUUCUUGUUGCGGGUUCCUUGCCUGAGAUAAGAGAGGAUCUGUGUCAGCUUGCUGAUGACGAUGUCAUUUGUGGUCAGUGUAGUCUGUGCCUCCAUGGUGGGGCAGUCGGCCUUGCUCCGGAUCAGCGUGGUGGGGAUAUCAGUGUCAGCGUACUCAUCGUCCAGAUCUACCACAUAGGCCAUCCUCCCCGGCAGGAACAGCUCAUUCCGCUCGUAGGCUUUGUUCUUGAACAGAAUGCGGUAGAUAUUUCGACCCAACCGAGUCUUAAAUUCAAUUUUGUUCUCAGGAUCUUCAUCUUUCUUGGUUUCUUUCUGAGGCUUCUCCAUCAUUUCUUCCUCUUCCUUCUCUUUGCUGGCAAUCUCAGCCCGUACCUUCUGCAGCAGGGCAAAGUCCAGACCCUUCACCAAGUGAGUGUGCUCCAUGUCACCACCCAAGAACUUGGACUCCUGGAUCAACUGUCUCCUCUUCUCUGCAGCAGAUUUAUCCGCCUCUGCAGUGGGCCCCACAGCCCUGUAGUUUGCAGUUGUGCUGAUCAGCUCUGUUUCCUCAUAGUCCUUGUUCACACCAUCUCUUCUCUCCUUGGCUCGAUCCCUGUACUUCUCAGCCAGCUCUCUUUCACGCUCUAUCUCCUGCUGGCGCAGCUUUGCGUAAUAGCUUUUCUUCUUCCUUCUACGAGCAGCUGGAUCUUCAUCUUCAUUGUACUCUCGGGGCAUCUCAUGGUGGCGAGAUUUGGACGGCGGCGCUGAUGUUGGCGUCGCCCGAGGGGUCAUGAGAAGCUUUCGAAAGUCUUCAUUGGUGAGUUUGGACUGGUGGAAGGAGUGCGCGUCGUCCACAUCGUGGCCAUCGGGGGCCAGGGGGUUGGAGAACGGCUCACCGUCCCUCUCCGGCAUCGCGACCCGCUCGGCUCCCCUCAGCUGCCG